CCACUGUCUGUUGAUGUCUGCCACUGGAUUAGCACUGAGAAAACCAAUUCAAGCAAUAAGAAACCAGCUGUCAGGAAGUGUUUUUCCUUGGAGGUGUGCUUUUUCUACCCCUUUUGCCCUGAGGAUCCUAUUAGUAGAGAGCUGA
rnacentral:lncRNA from 1 species